AAAACUAGUUCCAGUGUCCCUGUAUAUGAACGUCCUGUUCUAUGUGAAUCAGUCUCCAGUUGAAUGUAUGAGGUUGUCAGGUUCUGUCCUAUGUUAGAGUCCUAUGGUC